rnacentral:rRNA from 1 species
GACGAACGCUGGCGGCGUGCUUAACACAUGCAAGCCGAACGGAAAGGCCCUGCUUUUGUGGGGUGAUCGAGUGGCGAACGGGUGAGUAACACGUGAGUAACCUGCCCUUGACUUUGGGAUAAAUUCAGGAAACUGGGGCUAAUACCGGAUAGGAGCUCCUGCUGCAUGGCGGGGGUUGGAAAGUUUCUGCGGUUGGGGAUGGACUCGCGGCUUAUCAGCUUGUUGGUGGGGUAGUGGCUUACCAAGGCUUUGACGGGUAGCCGGCCUGAGAGGGUGACCGGCCACAUUGGGACUGAGAUACGGCCCAGACUCCUACGGGAGGCAGCAGUGGGGAAUAUUGCACAAUGGGCGGAAGCCUGAUGCAGCAACGCCGCGUGCGGGAUGACCGCCUUCGGGUUGUAAACCGCUUUCGCCUGUGACGAAGCUUGAGUGACGGUAAUGGGUAAAGAAGCACCGGCUAACUACGUG